AUCAAAUAUUCGGCCGCAUGGCAUUUUGUUAUGGUCAGUGAUUUUAUUGAAUUCUAAUUUAAUUGAAAACGACAACAACGUGUAGCCUACUCACCAGGCACGAAGAUAAUUUUUGUAACAUUUCGACCACUAAUUGCCUGCUAAGAUGCUAGCUAGCUAGCUAGCUAAUCAGUUCAACGUCCAAUUGCAAAGUCCCACUGAACACUCAUCAUCAUCUCAACCAGUCUUGAAAACACAAACACAUUCUUUACUCUUAUGGCAAAUUAGUGGCAAUUGCAGUCAUCGACUAGAAGGACCCGACAGUGGAAAGCGGCAGUGUGUCCUGACUCCUGUGUGAUCAUUAACACAUAGAUGGCAUCGCCAUGGACCCCUUGCUUUCCUUCCUGCAUGCUUAUUUACUUCCUGUUAUAGUAUUAAUGGUGUUGUGUGGCAAGGCCUUAUUAUUGUAGUAAGCAGGAACCAACACUAAUCCAAUAUAAUGAGCCAGUGCACUAAUAUGAAUCUGUAAGAGAUGCAAUUAUUGGAAUGGGGGUGGGUAUCACAAGUAGAUUUUACAAAUAAGCCGUUUUCUGC
rnacentral:lncRNA from 1 species